CGUAAUCGAUUGUUCCGCCAUAUUGUGUGCCAAAUUCGCACUUUUAAGAAUAGUGGAUUACUAGGAUCGUCGUCGCUCUGCGUGUGCUUCGGUACUUUAACGUAGUUAAGAAAGGCCCACCCUUCGUGCUGAUGGUGUCGCCGCUGUCGAUAAGGUUUGAGUGGUAGCAGGAUGCGCGAAGACCGCGGGGGAAAGGCAGGCAGGUUAUGGUAGGCAACUGUCUCCUGUGUUCACUCAGCGAUGCGAGCGGCAUGUGCUUGCUGUAUGGCAAGGUAUUCAAGAGACUGGGGACAGAUGGCAGAUAAGCAACCGAGAAUGUACAAGACUGGGAACAGGUGGCAGAUCAUCAACCGAGAAUGUACAAGGACAUGAUGCUGGAGAUUACAAUCUCACAUAUCUGACGUGGCGUAUAGCCCGGGCGGGAAAAGGCAGAUCAUUGGCCGAGCCGCCACUGGAAUGCCGCCAUGCUACACCAAUUCUCGUUAUUCGUUUCAGCUGAAGGGUCGCAUCUGCUCGAAAUGUGCGGUAUCCCAUCCUCCGGCGUCCUGUGCUGUGUGUGGUAUCUGUGUCUGGGUUGACUCUCGUGUUGUUCACCUUCGUAUCAGUGGCUGUGUCCCCCGCUGGACCCAGAUGGUAGAUAGAGCGGUAUGGGGGUGGAUGUGGUUUGUGUUGCACCUGGCCGUCCGCAUUUCCGCGUAGGUCCAGGCGGCAUGUUUCGCGAUGUUAGUAGACUUUGUUGUGUUUCCGGUGUCCCCGGAGUGCCGUGACGCUGCUUACUCCCGAACCGGUUAUCGACCGUGGCUGGGCUUGGAGCCGCGCGCAACGUCGAGUGUGCCGGUACACUGGAUUUGUUAGUGGCCCGUUGAGUGGUGUCUAUCGCGGUGGCCCCCCAGGGCGCUGUGUCUUGGGGUGUGCGUGGGGAGUGGUGGUCCUCCUGUGAGAGGAGUGGUCCUCGAUUUGCCCGUGGUGACGACUGGGUGCAGGAGUUGUGGGUGUUUGUGCAUGGAGGAGAGGAGGAGUCGACGCGUGCUAUGUAUGGUUUCGGGGGACAAGCUGCAAGAUGUAGGUACGAUGCUGGAUGGGCAACGGAAUGCCCAUUUAUAACGACCGAGGCCACAUGUAAGUGGUCUGCUGGAACUCCACCAGUCAUUUCGAAACGUUUUUACCGCGUUGCAAGGCGGUACGCACCAGUUGGAGUGCAGGCGAGGGCGGCGAGCAGAGGGGCGGAGGAGUGCUUGGGCAAACGCAGUGGAUAUGUAUCAGCACGUGGCGUGGGGGAAGAGGAGAAGCACACGCUGGUAGCAGCGAGGAUAGUUGCGGUUGUUGGCGGCAGCUUAAAUCUGAAUAGACGGACUACGUCUCGUGUCGCCUCAGUUGGCGCUGAGCAGAAACGAAAAACAGCCAACGGCAACGCUGCCCAUUUGUAUAUCGUGGUGUGCUGCUCGGUUUCACGGACGCAGCGUAUUGUUGAGGCUGGCACUAGGUUCGCACUUCUGGAACCGUGGGAUCUGGGGGCAACUGGUGUGGCAGCCAUUCGCAGACGACUGUGUCGCACACAGGCAUCACUGACAAUUGUGAAUAGGCUGCCAGCCCCACGGGACUCCUGAACACUGGGUCCAGUCGCAGUCAUGGACGCGAUUGAGGAUGCGAGUGUGCUGAGCGAGACGGGUA
rnacentral:lncRNA from 1 species